GAUGAACGCUGGCGGCGUGCCUAAUACAUGCAAGUCGAGCGGACGGACGAGUACCUGCCUUCUCUGAUGUUAGCGGCGGACGGGUGAGUAACACGUGGGUAACCUACCUAUAAUACUGGGAUAACUGCGGGACACCGGAUCUAAUACCGGAUAAUGUUUUGAACCGCAUGGUUCAAGAAUGAAAGUCCGUCUUGCUAUCACUUAUAGAUGUAUCCGCUCUGCAUUAGCUAGUUGGUAAGGUAACGGCUUACCAAGGCGACGAUGGAUAGCCGACCUGAGAGGGGGAUCGGCCACACUGGAGCUGGUACACGGUCCAGACUCCUACGGGAGGCAGCAGUCGGGAAUCUUCCGCAGAGGGCGAAAGCCUGACGGAGCAACGCCGCGUGAGUGAUGAAGGUCUUCGGAGCGUAAAACUCUGUUAUUAGGGAAGAACAUAUGUGUAAGUGACUGUGCAGAUAUUGACGGUACCUAAUCAGAAAGCCCCGGCUAACUACGUG
rnacentral:rRNA from 1 species